GACGAACGCUGGCGGCGUGCUUAACACAUGCAAGUCGAACGAUGAACUUGGAGCUUGCUCUGGGGGAUUAGUGGCGAACGGGUGAGUAACACGUGAGUAACCUGCCCUGGACUCUGGGAUAACUUCGAGAAAUCGGAGCUAAUACCGGAUAGGACCUUGCACCGCAUGGUGUGGGGUGGAGAGUUUUUCGGUUUGGGAUGGACUCGCGGCCUAUCAGCUUGUUGGUGAGGUAAUGUCUCACCAAGGCGGCGACGGGUAGCCGGCCUGAGAGGGGGACCGGCCACACUGGGACUGAGACACGGCCCAGACUCCUACGGGAGGCAGAGGUGGGGAGUAUUGCACAAUGGGCGCAAGCCUGAUGCAGCAACGCCGCGUGCGGGAUGACGGCCUUCGGGUUGUAAACCGCUUUUAGUAGGGAAGAAGCCUUCGGGUGACGGUACCUGCAGAAAAAGGACCGGCUAACUACGUGCCAGCCGCCGCAGUAAAAC
rnacentral:rRNA from 1 species